CCUAGAAAUAAUAUUUAGUGCGGUAUCCUAGAAAUAAUAUUUAGUGCGGUAUCCUAGAAAACCAAUCUUCACAACGAGCUGUAUUCUUGUUGGCCUCGGUUUGGCAGGUCUUGGAGCCUCUAUCAUUUUUAACCCUGCUAAAUCUGAAUUGUUUCAACCUGACACAAAUUCAUUAAAUUUGACCCUCACCACAAUUCCAGAAGUUAUUGAGGAGUCGAGUCUGAUCAAUUUCUUGCCUAUUUUCUGUUUUUGCACAGCAGCAUUUGCAGUUUGUUUUGGGUUGAGUCCAAUACCUUGGGCGUAUAGUAAUGAAUUGUUCCCACUAGAUGUCAGAUCCCAGCUUUCCGGUUUAACAGCCAGCUUUGUUCAGAUUAUUGCAUUUGCUCAGGUAAAAACUUUCCCAGCUCUGAGUGAAUGGGUCGGUAUUGGUGAAGCUAUUAUUUUCUGUGCAGCAGUAUCGUUUCUAGCAGCUGUCUGGGGGAUUGUCGUGCUACCUGAAACUAAAGGGAAAACCUUGCAUCAAAUAAACCGAAUGUUCUUUACUGAAGACCAGCUAAAGAUGAAGAUUAAAGAAGUUGAUGUUCAUAUGGAUGUAAUUAACCGUAAUGUAACUGCUUAAACUGUAAUUUUCAAGUUGUAUGGCAGGAUAUUAUCAUAAAAGUAAAUGUAGGCAAAAGUUCAUUCAGUGGCCGAAUUUAAUGAAUUUGAGCGGCGGUUUAAAUUCAAGCCGCGGCUUAAAUAUGGUUGAUUCCACUUAAAA